rnacentral:lncRNA from 1 species
CUAGUCUCUCAUAGAAACUUCUGGCCUCUGGACACUGUGGGAGCAACUUUUCCUUUAUUAGACUGUCUCCUCUUUAACUGAAGAUACUUUAGCACAGCAAGCAUCUCUUUUAUGCUUACAUUAUGCAGUUAUGCAGACUUGGUGUACGUCCUUCAAGGACAGUCUAAGAAUCUUUGAUUCUAUUUCUGCUGGAUACAUUGUUGCAGAGAUGAAUAUUGCAGCAUGACUGGGAAGCCUGUCCUUCAUUACUUCAAUUGAAGAAGAAGAAUGGAGUCCAUCCGGUGGCUCCUGGCAGCAGCUGGAGUAGAGUUUGAGGAAGAACUUUUUGAAACCCAUGAAGAGUUUGAGAAGUUAAUCCAAGGUGGAACCCUGAUGUACGAGCAAGUGCCCAUGGUGGAAAUCGAUGGAAUGACUUUGGUGCAGACCAGUGCCAUCUUAAGAUAUGUAGCUGCAAAAUAUGACUUGUAUGGAAGGAACCUGGAGGAACAAGCCUGAAGAGAAGGAGAUGAACCUUGAAUACAUCCUCCACCGAGCUACAACAAGAUUCUUCCCCGUUUAUGAGAAGGCCCUGAGAGACCACGGGCAAGACUUUCUUGUGGGCAAUCGGCUGAGCUUGGCUGAUGUCCAGCUCCUUGAAGUCAUCUUAAUGGCUGAAGAAUGCAAAGCCAGUGUUCUCUCGGGUUUCCCUCUGCUACAGGACUUCAAGGUGAGAACCAGCCAAAUUCCUACAAUUAACAGCUUCCUCCAACCUGGAAGCCAGAGGAAGCCUCCUUUGGAGGAGCGAUCCAUUGGGACUGCAAAGGACAUAUUCAAAUUUGAAUGAGGACUGUUUCUUAAAAACAUGAGCAAUAUAGUAGCUGAGUAUUAACAGCUACAGAGGCUGGAGUUACUCAGUAAGUAUACUGAGUAACUUGACACUGCAUUCAUAAAAAGACACUCACUAAGUAUAUGGCCAGAGAAAUAUCCUGAAGUUAGUAAUAAAUGUUAGGAAUCUUAGUAUGUUAGCAAUGUUAGAAUGUUAGUAAUGGAAAUAUUAAAUGUGUAAGAGAAAAACUACUAGAAGCUUAUCAAUAAACUACAAGAACCAACUCUUGUUUGAAGUAAGACAGGCUACCAAGACAGAAUUCAGAAAAUCCAAGGAGCCCUCGGCCUUCUGUAUGAUCCUAGAAUAAACUUGUAUGUAGCAAGUGAAA